GAUGAACGCUAGCGACAGGCCUAACACAUGCAAGUCGAGGGGCAGCACGGUGUAGCAAUACACGGGUGGCGACCGGCGCACGGGUGAGUAACGCGUAUGCAACCUGCCUACUACAAGGGGAUAACCCGUUGAAAGACGGACUAAUACCCUAUAACACAGGGAAUCCGCAUGGAUAUAUUUGUUAAAGAUUUAUCGGUAGUAGAUGGGCAUGCGUUCCAUUAGCUUGUUGGUGAGGUAACGGCUCACCAAGGCAACGAUGGAUAGGGGAACUGAGAGGUUGAUCCCCCACACUGGAACUGAGACACGGUCCAGACUCCUACGGGAGGCAGCAGUGAGGAAUAUUGGUCAAUGGACGAGAGUCUGAACCAGCCAAGUCGCGUGAAGGAAGACGGCCCUACGGGUUGUAAACUUCUUUUGUAAGGGAAUAAAUAGUCUUACGCGCUAAGACGUUGCAGGUACCUUACGAAUAAGGAUCGGCUAACUCCGUGCCAGCAGCCGCGGUAAAAGUCACG
rnacentral:rRNA from 1 species